UGCGUAGGCGGGCUAAUAAGUCAGUGGUGAAAUCUCUCGGCUCAACCGGGAAACUGCCAUUGAUACUGUUAGUCUUGAGUUCGGUUGAGGUAGGCGGAAUGUGUAAUGUAGCGAUGAAAUGCUUAGAUAUUACACAGAACACCAAUUGCGUAGGCAGCUUACUAGACCGACACUGACGCUGAGGCACGAAAGCGUGGGGAGCGAACAGGAUUAGAUACCCUGGUAGUCC
rnacentral:rRNA from 1 species